rnacentral:rRNA from 1 species
UUAAGCGACUAAGCGUACACGGUGGAUGCCCUGGCAGUCAGAGGCGAUGAAGGACGUGCUAAUCUGCGAAAAGCGUCGGUAAGGUGAUAUGAACCGUUAUAACCGGCGAUGUCCGAAUGGGGAAACCCAGUGUGAUUCGUCACACUAUCGUUAACUGAAUACAUAGGUUAACGAGGCGAACCGGGGGAACUGAAACAUCUAAGUACCCCGAGGAAAAGAAAUCAACCGAGAUUCCCCCAGUAGCGGCGAGCGAACGGGGAGCAGCCCAGAGUCUGAAUCAGCUUGUGUGUUAGUGGAACGGUCUGGAAAGUCCGACGGUACAGGGUGAUAGUCCCGUACACCAAAAUGCACAGGUUGUGAACUCGAAGAGUAGGGCGGGACACGUGGUAUCCUGUCUGAAUAUGGGGGACCAUCCUCCAAGGCUAAAUACUCCUGACUGACCGAUAGUGAACCAGUACCGUGAGGGAAAGGCGAAAAGAACCCCGGCGAGGGGAGUGAAAAAGAACCUGAAACCGUGUACGUACAAGCAGUGGGAGCACCUUCGGGUGUGACUGCGUACCUUUUGUAUAAUGGGUCAGCGACUUAUAUUCUGUAGCAAGGUUAACCGUAUAGGGGAGCCGCAGGGAAACCGAGUCUUAACUGGGCGUUAAGUUGCAGGGUAUAGACCCGAAACCCGGUGAUCUAGCCAUGGGCAGGUUGAAGGUUGGGUAACACUAACUGGAGGACCGAACCGACUAAUGUUGAAAAAUUAGCGGAUGACUUGUGGCUGGGGGUGAAAGGCCAAUCAAACCGGGAGAUAGCUGGUUCUCCCCGAAAGCUAUUUAGGUAGCGCCUCGUGAACUCAUCUUCGGGGGUAGAGCACUGUUUCGGCUAGGGGGUCAUCCCGACUUACCAACCCGAUGCAAACUACGAAUACCGAAGAAUGUUAUCACGGGAGACACACGGCGGGUGCUAACGUCCGUCGUGAAGAGGGAAACAACCCAGACCGCCAGCUAAGGUCCCAAAGUCAUGGUUAAGUGGGAAACGAUGUGGGAAGGCACAGACAGCCAGGAUGUUGGCUUAGAAGCAGCCAUCAUUUAAAGAAAGCGUAAUAGCUCACUGGUCGAGUCGGCCUGCGCGGAAGAUGUAACGGGGCUAAACCAUGCACCGAAGCUGCGGCAGCGACACUAUGUGUUGUUGGGUAGGGGAGCGUUCUGUAAGCCUGCGAAGGUGUGCUGUGAGGCAUGCUGGAGGUAUCAGAAGUGCGAAUGCUGACAUAAGUAACGAUAAAGCGGGUGAAAAGCCCGCUCGCCGGAAGACCAAGGGUUCCUGUCCAACGUUAAUCGGGGCAGGGUGAGUCGACCCCUAAGGCGAGGCCGAAAGGCGUAGUCGAUGGGAAACAGGUUAAUAUUCCUGUACUUGGUGUUACUGCGAAGGGGGGACGGAGAAGGCUAUGUUAGCCGGGCGACGGUUGUCCCGGUUUAAGCAUGUAGGCUGAUUGUCCAGGCAAAUCCGGAUAAUCAAGGCUGAGGUGUGAUGACGAGGCACUACGGUGCUGAAGUAACAAAUGCCCUGCUUCCAGGAAAAGCCUCUAAGCAUCAGGUAACAUCAAAUCGUACCCCAAACCGACACAGGUGGUCAGGUAGAGAAUACCAAGGCGCUUGAGAGAACUCGGGUGAAGGAACUAGGCAAAAUGGUGCCGUAACUUCGGGAGAAGGCACGCUGGUGUGUAGGUGAAGUCCCUGCGGAUGGAGCUGAGACCAGUCGAAGAUACCAGCUGGCUGCAACUGUUUAUUAAAAACACAGCACUGUGCAAACACGAAAGUGGACGUAUACGGUGUGACGCCUGCCCGGUGCCGGAAGGUUAAUUGAUGGGGUUAUCCGUAAGGAGAAGCUCUUGAUCGAAGCCCCGGUAAACGGCGGCCGUAACUAUAACGGUCCUAAGGUAGCGAAAUUCCUUGUCGGGUAAGUUCCGACCUGCACGAAUGGCGUAAUGAUGGCUAGGCUGUCUCCACCCGAGACUCAGUGAAAUUGAACUCGCUGUGAAGAUGCAGUGUACCCGCGGCAAGACGGAAAGACCCCGUGAACCUUUACUAUAGCUUGACACUGAACAUUGAGCCUUGAUGUGUAGGAUAGGUGGGAGGCUUUGAAGCGUGGACGCCAGUCUGCGUGGAGCCAACCUUGAAAUACCACCCUUUAAUGUUUGAUGUUCUAACGUUGGCCCCUUACCGGGGUUGCGGACAGUGUCUGGUGGGUAGUUUGACUGGGGCGGUCUCCUCCCAAAGCGUAACGGAGGAGCACGAAGGUUAGCUAAUCCUGGUCGGACAUCAGGAGGUUAGUGCAAUGGCAUAAGCUAGCUUGACUGCGAGCGUGACGGCGCGAGCAGGUGCGAAAGCAGGUCAUAGUGAUCCGGUGGUUCUGAAUGGAAGGGCCAUCGCUCAACGGAUAAAAGGUACUCCGGGGAUAACAGGCUGAUACCGCCCAAGAGUUCAUAUCGACGGCGGUGUUUGGCACCUCGAUGUCGGCUCAUCACAUCCUGGGGCUGAAGUAGGUCCCAAGGGUAUGGCUGUUCGCCAUUUAAAGUGGUACGCGAGCUGGGUUUAGAACGUCGUGAGACAGUUCGGUCCCUAUCUGCCGUGGGCGCUGGAGAAUUGAGGGGGGCUGCUCCUAGUACGAGAGGACCGGAGUGGACGCAUCACUGGUGUUCGGGUUGUCAUGCCAAUGGCACUGCCCGGUAGCUAAAUGCGGAAGAGAUAAGUGCUGAAAGCAUCUAAGCACGAAACUUGCCCCGAGAUGAGUUCUCCCUGAGACUUUAAGUCUCCUGAAGGAACGUUGAAGACGACGACGUUGAUAGGCCGGGUGUGUAAGCGCAGCGAUGCGUUGAGCUAACCGGUACUAAUGAACCGUGAGGCUUAACCU